rnacentral:tRNA from 1 species
CGAUCUAUGGCCAAAUUGGUAAAGGCAUCGCCGAUGACAUGGCGAGAGUGCGAGUUCGAGUCCCACUAGAACGG